rnacentral:rRNA from 1 species
UACGUAGGGCGCAAGCGUUGUCCGGAAUUAUUGGGCGUAAAGAGCUCGUAGGCGGCUUGUCACGUCGGGUGUGAAAGACCGGGGCUUAACCCCGGUUCUGCAUUCGAUACGGGCUGGCUAGAGUGUGGUAGGGGAGAUCGGAAUUCCUGGUGUAGCGGUGAAAUGCGCAGAUAUCAGGAGAAACACCGGUGGCGAAGGCGGAUCUCUGGGCCAUUACUGACGCUGAGGAGCGAAAGCGUGGGGAGCGAACGGG